GGGAGUCGGUUUUAUUUUUUUGUAAAAAGUUUUUUAUUUUUAGCUUUUCAGUGACAAGCAUAGUUGUCACUAUCCGCAUAAGUGUAAAGUUCUUAUCAAUACGAACAAUAUAAGCCCAAACACGAGGUAGUUUACACAUUCAUUGUUCAAGUUCCCUCAACCUUCUCUGGACUUCAUCAUCAGGUCAGCUUCAAACCUUCACCACUGCAUAGUGUUAUCAGACAUACGCCUUAGUGUCAAGCUUUUACCCUACGUAUGCCUACAAUUUUCGAAAGUUGCCCUCGAUUUCUCAGGGUUUCCAUCAUCAGAUCCUGACCUGGUGACUAUGGGACCACCUGGGAGGUAAACCCUAUUAAACAAAAAAAAAAUUUUGCAAAUCGGUCCAGGCGUCUCCGAGUAAUCGGUGAACAUACAUAAAAAAUAAUAAAAAAAAAAAAGAUCCCGACGAAUUGAGAACCUCCUCCUUUUUGGGAAGUCGGUUAAAAA
rnacentral:lncRNA from 1 species